UUUCUAAAGAGUCAACGUUCAACGAAGGCAAAUUAAGGGCUGCCACGUGUCCCGUGAACUGCUAUCGUAACUGGAUCUCCUACCGUCUGUCUAUCUCUUAUCGGGAAAGCACUUUUUUUUUUUAUCCUUUAGUGUAUGAUUUGACUCCACUCAAUAUAUCAUGCCCAUCAACAGACCCACUGCAGCUGUACCGGCGAAGUCAACCUAGAAUAUUCAGUCAGGUGUUUUCAAUAUGAGUACACCCGGAAAUCGGCCAGCCCUC
rnacentral:lncRNA from 1 species